GGACGGGUGAGUAAUGCAUAGGAAUCUACCUAUUAGUGGGGGACAACGUGUGGAAACGCACGCUAAUACCGCAUACGCCCUACGGGGGAAAGGGGGGGAUCUUCGGACCUCUCGCUAAUAGAUGAGCCUAUGUCAGAUUAGCUAGUUGGUGGGGUAAAGGCCUACCAAGGCGACGAUCUGUAGCUGGUCUGAGAGGAUGAUCAGCCACACUGGGACUGAGACACGGCCCAGACUCC
rnacentral:rRNA from 1 species